rnacentral:rRNA from 1 species
AAUCAACGCUGGCGGCGUGCCUAACACAUGCAAGUCGAACGAGAAAGUGGAGCAAUCCAUGAGUAAAGUGGCGACCGGGUGAGUAACACGUGACUAACCUGCCCUAGAGUGGGGGAUAACCUCGGGAAACCGGGGCUAAUACCGCAUAACAUCACGAGGGGAAGAUCCUUGUGAUCAAAGGAGCAAUUCGCUCUAGGAGGGGGUCGCGGCUGAUUAGCCAGUUGGCGGGGUAACGGCCCACCAAAGCCAAGAUAAGUAGCCGGCCUGAGAGGGCGCACGGCCGCACUGGAACUGAAACACGGUCCAGACUCCUACGGGAGGCAGCAGUGGGGAAUUUUGCGCAAUGGGGGAAACCCUGACGCAGCAACGCCGCGUGGAGGAUGAAGUCCCUUGGGAUGUAAACUCCUUUCGAUCGGGACGAUAAUGACGGUACCGGAAGAAGAAGCACCGGCUAACUCUGUGCCAGCCGCCGCGGUAAAAC